rnacentral:lncRNA from 1 species
GGAUGAAGCUCUAUGGAGCAAUCCCGGCCUUGGGAGGGUGUGAACUUUGUGGAAAGAUUAACAAAAGGGGAAGAGUCCUAUUUUGAAUCAAGAAAAUCUGAACUCAUGAGAAUAAAAUUAGUGUGAGGAGCCAAAUCCUGAACCAUCUUUAGCUUCCUUAUUUUCUCUUUGAUGACACUGUAACUUUCUAACUACAAAGGAGAAAAUCAAUUUAAAGAGCAAAGUAUUUGGUUAAUCCUUUAAACCAUUUGUCUACAGCAUUUUACACAUCAGCAUACUUGUUCGAAUUUUCCAUUUGUCUUUGGAAUAUCUACCUGGAAAGAAGUCUAUAUUUAAACAGAAGAGAUGGAAACCACUGGGCUAAUACAAAAAAUUGAAAAAUUCAACCAAUGAAACACUGGUCUUUAUUUCAUCAGCAAUUUCGGUUUCCUUUUUUAAAACCAAAUUAGGCUAAAAAAUGAAACCAAAAUUGCGGAUGAAAUGAAGCUAUUUUGUACAAAUAUCACUGCAUUCUCAAAAAGGAGAGAUUCCACAGAAUAUUCUUGUACAAAUACCAUAGUUUGGGACCAUGUAGAAUCUCUCUUUUUGAGGACACAAAGUGGUAUUUGUACAAGAAUAUUCUGAGUCUGGAUCCACUAGCUGCAAGAAGACCCGAUUGAGCCAGUGCCUCCCACUGUGGGUUAAAAUCAGCCUGGCCUCUCAUGGGGCACAGAGGAGACCGAACUGUAAGUCAUUAGCAUGAUUUGUUCUCACUUUCCAGCAGGCUGAUUUGGUGCUGUUGUUGAUGCUGCCACGGCCAUUGUAGUGUAAGGAAACUGCUGGGGACUAGACUGGCUUGUAAACAGCAGCACCUCUAAACAAGGCACCACUGCCAGGAUUUUGUCCUCUGGGGACAGACAAUGCUGCUGUGUUUGCCAAGGAAGACAGCUCCAAGUGUCUCUGUUUUCAGGCAUCCCUCAGUUUUCAAAAAGAAACCAACAUACAGAAGAAAGAAGAAAGAAGAGGCAAAUGGUGUAGAGAGACAGGGACUCAGAAGCCAUGCCUGAUCUCUUCCCAGGUACAGAGGUCAAAUUCCACUUCCUGCUUCAUUGACUUUGAUUAUGGUUUCUGUUACUUUGAAGCAAAAAUGUCAUUAUUAAUAUACUAUAUCCACUUUGUACCAAGAAUGGUGUUAGGGAGUGGGAAGACAAAGGUGGCUUAGACACUGUAAUAUCUUGUAGUCAAAAACUGAAG